rnacentral:rRNA from 1 species
GACGAACCGUGCAAACGUUAUUCGGAAUCACUGGGCUUAAAGCGCACGUAGGCGGACCAUCAAGUCGGAUGUGAAAUCCCUCGGCUUAACCGAGGACGUGCAUUCGAAACUGAUGGCCUUGAGUACGAAAGAGGAUCGCGGAAUUCCCGGUGUAGAGGUGAAAUUCGUAGAUAUCGGGAGGAACACCAGUGGCGAAGGCGGCGAUCUGGGUCGAUACUGACGCUGAGGUGCGAAAGCGUGGGGAGCAAACAGG